CCGGGAGGCGGAGCUUGCAGUGAGCUGAGAUCUGGCCACUGCACUCCAGCCUACGCGACAGAGCGAGACUCGUCUAAAAAAAAAAAAAAGAGUUACCUAUUUACUUUUUUUUAAUUUUUAAUUUUUAAUUUAAUUUAAUUUUAUUUUGAGACGGAGUCUCGCCUCUGUCGCCCAGGCUGAAGUGCAGUGGCCGGAUCUCAGCUCACUGCAAGCUCCGCCUCCCGG
rnacentral:pre_miRNA from 1 species